rnacentral:rRNA from 1 species
ACCAAACAGCUAGCUUAACUUAAUAUUACAAAAACCACAAUUUACAUACUAUUACAAAAACUAAACUCACAAACUAAACCAUUCGACCACCCCAGUACGGGCGACAGAAAAGGAAAAAUUGAAGCUAUAGAUAAAGUACCGCAAGGGAAAGCUGAAAGAGAAAUGAAAUAACACGCUUAAGUUUAUAAAAGCAGAGCAUACACCUCGUACCUUUUGCAUCAUGAUCUAGCUAGUCUAUUCAAGCAAAGAGACCUCUAGUUUGAUUUCCCGAAACCUGCACGAGCUACUUCGGGACAGUCUAUUAUAGGACCAACCCGUCUCUGUAGCAAAAGAGUGGGAAGAUCCCCAAGUAGAAGUGAAAGACCUAUCGAGUCAGGUUAUAGCUGGUUGCCUAGGAAAUGAAUAGAAGUUCAGCCCCGCUUAGCCCCCCGUCACCACAGUCCUACUAAAACAAGACUUCGGGCCACGAGCGAGAGUUAGUUGAGGGGGGAACAGCUCCCUUAACAAAGGACACAACCUUAUCAGGAGGCUAAAGAAUAAAUUUAACAAAGGCUACCGGUUUCAGUGGGCCUAAGAGCAGCCACCUGUUCAGAAAGCGUUAAAGCUCAGACCUUUAAAAACCCAUAAUAAGAUUAACAAAACUAAUGCCCCUAAAAAUACUAGGCCAUUUUAUGCUCGCAUAAAAGAGACCAUGCUAGAACGAGUAAUAAGAAGAACGAACUUCUCCCAGCACAAGUGUAAGUCGGAUCGGACUCACCACCGACAAUUAACGAACCCAAAAAAAGAGGAGCCUGCGUUAGAGCUACAACCAGCCAAGAAAAACACGCACCUAAUAUCGUUACCCCUACACAGGAGUGCCUUAAAGGAAAGACUUAAAGGAAGAAAAGGAACUCGGCAAACUCAAACCCCGCCUGUUUACCAAAAACAUCGCCUCCUGCUAACACCACAUAGGAGGUCCCGCCUGCCCUGUGACCAAAAGUUUAACGGCCGCGGUAUUUUAACCGUGCAAAGGUAGCGCAAUCAAUUGUCUUUUAAAUGAAGACCUGUAUGAAUGGCACCACGAGGGUUUAACUGUCUCUUCUCCCUGGUCAAUGAAACUGAUCUGCCCGUGCAGAAGCGGGCAUAAACAUAUAAGACGAGAAGACCCUAUGGAGCUUUAGAUAUGAACCAAUUAUGAAAAGCAACUUCACUAAAAAAUCCCUAAAUAGCAUAACACUGGUAUUAAUAUCUUCGGUUGGGGCGACCAUGGGAAAAAACAAAGCUCCCAAGUGGAUAGGGGACAUCCCCUAGAACCUAGAGCCACAGCUCCAAGUCACAAAAAAUUUUGACCAACAAUGAUCCGGGUUGACUCCCGAUCAACGGACCAAGUUACCCUAGGGAUAACAGCGCAAUCCUCUCCCAGAGUCCAUAUCGACGAGGGGGUUUACGACCUCGAUGUUGGAUCAGGAUAUCCUGAUGGCGCAGCCGCUUUCAAGGGUUCGUUUGUUCAACGAUUAAAAUCCUACGUGAUCUGAGUUCAGACCGGAGAAAUCCAGGUCGGUUUCUAUCUAUAAAGCUACCCUUCCUAGUACGAAAGGACCGGAGUGAUAAGGCCAAUGCUUUAGGCACGCCUUCCCCCUACCUGAUGAAAACAACUAAAACAGGUAAAGGAGAGCACCCUCCAGCCCCAAAGAAGGGCACAA